rnacentral:tRNA from 1 species
UCCCUUGUGGUCCAGUGGUUAGGACUCUGCACUUUCACUUCCAGGCCCAGGUUCGAUUCCUGGUUGGAGAA